UAAUACAAGCAAGUCGAGCGGAUCGAUGGGAGCUUGCUCCCUGAGAUCAGCGGCGGACGGGUGAGUAACACGUGGGUAACCUGCCUGUAAGACUGGGAUAACUCCGGGAAACCGGGGCUAAUACCGGAUAACAUUUUCCUCCGCAUGGAGGAGAAUUGAAAGGUGGCUUCGGCUACCACUUACAGAUGGACCCGCGGCGCAUUAGCUAGUUGGUGAGGUAACGGCUCACCAAGGCGACGAUGCGUAGCCGACCUGAGAGGGUGAUCGGCCACACUGGGACUGAGACACGGCCCAGACUCCUACGGGAGGCAGCAGUAGGGAAUUUUCCGCAAUGGACGAAAGUCUGACGGAGCAACGCCGCGUGAGUGAAGAAGGUUUUCGGAUCGUAAAACUCUGUUGUUAGGGAAGAACAAGUACCGUUCGAAUAGGGCG
rnacentral:rRNA from 1 species